AUUGAACGCUGGCGGCAUGCCUUACACAUGCAAGUCGAACGGCAGCACGGGUGCUUGCACCUGGUGGCGAGUGGCGAACGGGUGAGUAAUACAUCGGAACAUGUCCUGUAGUGGGGGAUAGCCCGGCGAAAGCCGGAUUAAUACCGCAUACGAUCUACGGAUGAAAGCGGGGGACCUUCGGGCCUCGCGCUCUAGGGUUUGCCGGUGGCUGAUUAGCUAGUUGGUGGGGUAAAGGCCUACCAAGGCGACGAUCAGUAGCUGGUCUGAGAGGACGACCAGCCACACUGGGACUGAGACACGGCCCAGACUCCUACGGGAGGCAGCAGUGGGGAAUUUUGGACAAUGGGCGAAAGCCUGAUCCAGCAAUGCCGCGUGUGUGAAGAAGGCCUUCGGGUUGUAAAGCACUUUUGUCCGGAAAGAAAUCCUUGGCCCUAAUACGGUCGGGGGAUGACGGUACCGGAAGAAUAAGCACCGGCUAACUACGUG
rnacentral:rRNA from 1 species